rnacentral:rRNA from 1 species
AAAUUGAAGAGUUUGAUCAUGGCUCAGAUUGAACGCUGGCGGCAGGCCUAACACAUGCAAGUCGAACGGUAACAGGAAGCAGCUUGCUGCUUCGCUGACGAGUGGCGGACGGGUGAGUAAUGUCUGGGAAACUGCCUGAUGGAGGGGGAUAACUACUGGAAACGGUGGCUAAUACCGCAUAACGUCGCAAGACCAAAGAGGGGGACCUUCGGGUCUCUUG